UACUACUUCUUUUAAAUGUACGAAACUGUUUCCUCUUUUUUACUUUUCACAAAUGCCCCAAGGACUUACAAUUAAUACUAAUCCUAUCCUACACCUGUUUCCAACAGACACAGUACAACGGGUACAACCAAAACAAUACAACAGGCACCAUUUCCCUGACAACGGUAACAAGCGACUAACGCCUCCCAAGAAGCACCCCUUCAAUCCUUCUUUGCAAUGGUUCGCCUAUAAAUAUAAACGGUAAAACGCCAAUUCCUUCCUGCACGUGCACUUCUUUGCAAUCCGUCCUUGUUUUCACCAUUAUCCCGUAGCACCGGCCAGUAAGGCCGCCGCCCUGACACCUGUGUUCGCCAUUGUCUAUCGCCUAGAAUGGCUUUCAAACGGAAUCUUCUGACUCCACACGGUAAGCAUCCCAAAGAACCAUUCUAGGGCAAGUGGUUGGCCAAAGCACAUUGCUUACUCUGCUUCCCUUGCUAACUGAUGAAGCUGAACCAGCUAGAAUGGCUAUGGAUGGAAGAACAAUCUUUGAAUUUUGUUAAUUUCUAGGGAGACGCUUAACUCCUUAACAAAUCUUCUUGGGGGACGUUCAAUCCACUCACAAAUUGAUCGUUGCUUAUCUAUAUGAUAUUAAACCAGUUCUGAAUUCUUGGCGAAGUCGGUCCAAUAUUCUUUGUAAGAAGGUGAAGUUUUUCUAUUUUGUUUAAAUGAGGAGAUGAUGGUCCUUGUCAAGUUUUUUGGUACAACUGAAAUGGAGAAGAUUGAUCAUCGGAGAUUGCAUUUUACAUUUGCUGCUUUGGUUAUUUCUUUUUGGUAUUGGUAAUGAAGAGUGUCCCGAUGAACCGGACUAAUCCCGCCUCUACCACAGCCCUUUCCAUGCAUUUGCGCUUUGGUUAUUUCGUCUUUUGGUCUUUCCUGUAUCUAGCACUUCUUGUGAAAAAUAGAUUGUCAUAGUUAGUACUUGUUACGAUUUAGGUUUUAAUACCAUGUAUAAACAUUAGUUGUAUUGCACUUACCUUGUGGCCUUGUUCAUUGGAACAUAAUCCA